rnacentral:rRNA from 1 species
AUUGAACGCUAGCGGGAUGCCUUACACAUGCAAGUCGAACGGCAGCACGGACUUCGGUCUGGUGGCGAGUGGCGAACGGGUGAGUAAUGUAUCGGAACGUGCCUAGUAGCGGGGGAUAACUACGCGAAAGCGUAGCUAAUACCGCAUACGCCCUACGGGGGAAAGCAGGGGAUCGCAAGACCUUGCACUAUUAGAGCGGCCGAUAUCGGAUUAGCUAGUUGGUGGGGUAACGGCUCACCAAGGCGAUGAUCCGUAGCUGGUUUGAGCGGACGACCGGCCACACGGGGACUGGGACACGGCCCAGACUCCUACGGGAGGCAGCAGUGGGGAAGUUUGGACAAUGGGGGAAACCCUGAUCCAGCCAUCCCGCGUGUGCGAUGAAGGCCUUCGGGUUGUAAAGCACUUUUGGCAGGAAAGAAACGUCGCGGGUUAAUACCCCGCGAAACUGACGGUACCUGCAGAAUAAGCACCGGCUAACUACGUGCCAGCCGCCGCCGUAAAAC